CGAUUAGAGUUUGAUCCUGGCUCAGAACGAACGCUGGCGGCGGGCCUCAUACAUGCAAGUCGAGCGCGAAAGUCCGCAAGGAUGAGUAAAGCGGCGCACGGGUGAGUAACACGUGGAUAAUCUACCCUUUGGAUUGGAAUAACCUGUCGAAAGACGGGCUAAUGCCGAGUAAGCUUACGAGUUCGUGAAGUUCUUGUAAGGAAAGAUGGUGCAAGCUAUCGCCGAAGAUGAGUCUGCGUCCCAUUAGUUAGUUGGUGGGGUAAUGGCUUACCAAGACUAUGAUGGGUACCUGGUCUGAGAGGAUGAUCAGGCACACUGGAACUGAAACACGGUCCAGACUCCUACGGGAGGCAGCAGUAGGGAAUAUUGCGCAAUGGACGAAAGUCUGACGCAGCCACGCCGCGUGAGUGAGGAAGGCUUCGGGUUGUAAAGCUCUGUCAUUCGGGAAAAAUAGCCAUCCGGGGAAAGUUCGGGUGGUUUGAUGGUACCGAAGGAGGAAGCACCGGCAAACUCUGUGCCAGCAGCCGCGGUAAUACAGAGGGUGCAAGCGUUGUUCGGAAUUACUGGGCGUAAAGCGUGCGUAGUCGGUAUUGAGAGUCACGGGUGAAAUCCCCAAGCUUAACUUGGGAACUGCCUGUGAGACCUCAGUACUAGAGUGUGAGAGGGGAUAGUGGAAUACCCAGUGUAGCGGUGAAAUGCGUAGAGAUUGGGUGGAACACCGGUGGCGAAGGCGGCUAUCUGGCUCACAACUGACGAUCAGGCACGAAAGCGUGGRGAGCAAACAGGAUUAGAUACCCUGGUAGUCAAUCACUAGUGAAU
rnacentral:rRNA from 1 species